rnacentral:rRNA from 1 species
CCCUACGGGGCGCAGCAGUAGGGAAUCUUCCACAAUGGACGAAAGUCUGAUGGAGCAACGCCGCGUGAGUGAAGAAGGGUUUCGGCUCGUAAAGCUCUGUUGGUAGUGAAGAAAGAUAGAGGUAGUAACUGGCCUUUAUUUGACGGUAAUUACUUAGAAAGUCACGGCUAACUACGUGCCAGCAGCCGCGGUAAUACGUAGGUGGCAAGCGUUGUCCGGAUUUAUUGGGCGUAAAGCGAGUGCAGGCGGUUCAAUAAAUCUGAUGGUAAAGCCCUCGGCUCAACCGGAGAAAUGCAUUCGAAAAU